ACUACAUGUACAGGAUAGGUGGGAGGCUUUGAAACCAGGACGCCAGUUUUGGCGGAGCCAUCCUUGGGAUACCACCCUUGUAGUACUGGGACUCUAACCAUAGGCCAUGAAUCUGGUCUUGGGACACUGUCAGGUGGGCAGUUUGACUGGGGCGGUCGCCUCCCCAAAGGUAACGGAGGCGCUCAAAGGUUCUCUCAGUACGGUCGGAAAUCGUACGCAGAGUGUAAAGGCCAAAGAGAGCUUGAUUGCAAGACAUACUGGUCGAGCAAGGAUGAAAAUCGGACUUAGUGAUCCGGUGGUUCUGCGUGGAAGGGCCAUCG
rnacentral:rRNA from 1 species